AGCGAACGCCGGCGGCAGGCCUAACACAUGCAAGUCGAACGAACUCUUCGGAGUUAGUGGCGGACGGGUGAGUAACACGUGGGAACGUGCCUUUUGGUUCGGAAUAACUCAGGGAAACUUGUGCUAAUACCGAAUGCGCCCUUCGGGGGAAAGAUUUAUCGCCAUUAGAGCGGCCCGCGUCUGAUUAGCUAGUUGGUGAGGUAACGGCUCACCAAGGCGACGAUCAGUAGCUGGUCUGAGAGGAUGACCAGCCACACUGGGACUGAGACACGGCCCAGACUCCUACGGGAGGCAGCAGUGGGGAAUCUUGCGCAAUGGGCGAAAGCCUGACGCAGCCAUGCCGCGUGAAUGAUGAAGGUCUUAGGAUUGUAAAAUUCUUUCACCGGGGACGAUAAUGACGGUACCCGGAGAAGAAGCCCCGGCUAACUUCGUG
rnacentral:rRNA from 1 species